rnacentral:rRNA from 1 species
AACGAACGCUGGCGGCAUGCCUAACACAUGCAAGUCGAACGAGACCUUCGGGUCUAGUGGCGCACGGGUGCGUAACGCGUGGGAACCUGCCCUUAGGUUCGGAAUAACUCCCCGAAAGGGGUGCUAAUACCGGAUAAUGUCUUCGGACCAAAGAUUUCUCGCCUUUGGAUGGGCCCGCGUUGGAUUAGCUAGUUGGUAGGGUAAAAGCCUACCAAGGCGACGAUCCAUAGCUGGUCUGAGAGGAUGGUCAGCCACACUGGGACUGAGACACGGCCCAGACUCCUACGGGAGGCAGCAGUGGGGAAUAUUGGACAAUGGGCGAAAGCCUGAUCCAGCAAUGCCGCGUGAGUGAUGAAGGCCUUAGAGUUGUAAAGCUCUUUUACCCGGGAUGAUAAUGACAGUACCGGGAGAAUAAGCUCCGGCUAACUCCGUG